ACCGGGGAGCACGACGUCACGGCGGGCGCGCUCCCGACUGCACCGCCGGAGGCAUCACUCCUGCUGCUUAGUAACUGCCUCAACUUUCUAUCCUCCGCGCCUGUAUCUAGUAAUGCCCGUCAGAAGACGCUGAGACAAGUAAGCUUCUAAAUCACGGGUUCCUGUGAUCCCUGGGGCACAUACACGGGUGGAUGUAAACCGGGAGUUCCCCUGGUCCCUCAACCUUCCCGCUACCCCUUAAAAGUACCUGGAAAGACAAGGGAACUGCCAUCUGGGACCUCUUCUCCAGUUAGGAGGCCCCUUGAAUUGCUGCGGAGAUGGAUUUCCUUGGUACUGGAUAUAUUUUUCUCGGUUCCAGCUAUUAGAUAUGUCCUUUUGAUUUAUGUUACUGUAUAACUUACAUGAGUACAUUGAUUGUAUAUCCUCCAGAUCUGAUGAAGGUCAAUACCUGACCGAAACGUUAUCUACUUGGAUUGCGUAUGAAAUA